AAGGAUUUGGAUUCUCCCCACAGCUGGCAUGGACAGAAUCAGAAACGCGGCUGUUGCUGUGACCCUGGACCCCAACACUGCCCACCCGAUGCUCCAGGUAUCACCUGACCUGGUCACAGUGCGCUGUGUUAAGGGGCGGGCGAUCACUUCUGUAGACAGAGGGGUUUCGGAGCCCAUCCUCUCAGUGAUGGGGAAGCCACCUCUCA